rnacentral:rRNA from 1 species
GGGCUUGACAUCCCACGAACCUGCCCGAAAAGGUGGGGUGCCCGCAAGGGAGCGUGGAGACAGGUGGUGCAUGGCUGUCGUCAGCUCGUGUCGUGAGAUGUUGGGUUAAGUCCCGCAACGAGCGCAACCCUCACCCCUAGUUGCCACCGGGUUAAGCCGAGCACUCAAGGGGAACUGCCAGCGUCAAGCUGGAGGAAGGCGGGGAUGACGUCAAGUCAUCAUGCCCCUUACGCCCUGGGCUACACACGUGCUACAAUGGCCAGUACAAAGGGACGCGAGACUGCGAAGUGGAGCUAACCCCAAAAAGCUGGUCUAAGUUCAGAUUGCAGUCUGCAACUCGACUGCAUGAAGGAGGAAUCGCUAGUAAUCGCGUAUCAGCCCGGCGCGGUGAAUACGUUCCCGGGCCUUGUACACACCGCCCGUCACACCACGAAAGCUGUCUGUACUCGAAGUCGCUGAG